rnacentral:lncRNA from 1 species
UUCCUCUUUACCAUGUUUACAAUUCAACUGAAUAGCAUGUCUAUUUGUAGAUCUCUCACUCGUCUUGGUUAGAUAUUGCAGAUUUUUUUUAUAUUUCACGAAAGAGACAACAAAUUACAUUUUUUACAUCCAUGAAAUACAAUUUUUUAACUGAAAUCCUUUUUGAAGCUCCUAUUCUAAGAAUAUUCACAAAUCUCCGAACUGCUGAUAUCAUGUAUAUUUGGAAUUCAUUUUAACUGAGGUAAAAAAAUCAACUUUAAUAAUGAUGAAAAUUAAUAUUCCUUGUUUUUUCAGCAUCAAAACACUAAAUUCCAAUUCAUUUGGUCUUGAAACAUUCAAUGCUUCUGCUUAGUACGGUACAUUAUGUAGAAUUGCUGUCUUUUUUCUAUUUUUCACGGACAUAUGUAGCUUUCUAAACAAAUUUUAAUCAGAUCUUCCAUAAUCAUGAUAAUGGCCAUGAUGAGUUAUAAGUAACUUUUAACUGGUGUCUGACUGCAGGUCUA